AAGUCGUAACAAGGUUUCCGUAGGUGAACCUGCGGAAGGAUCAUUCAUAAUAAGUGUUUUAUGGCACUUUUUAAAUCCAUAUCCACCUUGUGUGCAAUGUCAGUCGAUCUUCUUCAUGGAGAUCGACCAAAAGAGUUAAAAAAUAAAGGUUGAUGUACAUCAACCUUUAUUUUUUAACUCUUUGUCUGAAAAAUAUUAUGAAUAAACAAUUCAAAAUACAACUUUCAACAACGGAUCUCUUGGCUCUC
rnacentral:misc_RNA from 1 species